UGGCACACUCCAGAAUCCGUAUGACAGAGUUUCAGAAGCCUUCAAACCAGUUAAAUACUUGAUGUACAUAUUGAUGUUUUAAUGCAUAUUGAUAAGAAUAUUUUAUUAACCCCCAGAGGAAACUGCAUUGUAUAAGACCUCUCCACACUUUGCAGAAGCAUUUCAUUUUAGUUUUUUGUGCAGCAGCAGUAUAAAGUGUUAUUAGGCAUCAGCCAGAGGGUGGAAGAAAGAAGAGUCAAGAUAUCUAUGAGGUAAAGACGGGUGUGUAAUGACUGAGUGAACUAAUGGAGUCAGUGUACAAAGAAAUGCCAGAAAACUGGACCAAACAGCACUUCAAAAGAAAACUUUUUAUGAUUUCUUAUCACCUCAUUAGGUACCAGAUGGAUGGAGUUAAUGAAGGAUGCGAGAAAGUGAGAAUCCCGACAGUAAUUUGGCAAAACUAAACACUGUUUGAUAUCAUCAUUUGGGAAAUGUCAGUCCAUUCCCGACAUUAUUCUGUCCAGCAGCCUCGAGUUGCCACGGUCGCUAAUAUGUUUUUUAUGCCUCUCAUCUUGAGAUCAAGACCUAAUUAUCUUGUUACCUCCAGAUAAGAAAUUGUUCCCUUGUUGUUAUGACUUCAUUUUCCAUGUUCUCAAUAACAAAAGCUCCUCACUUAUCGCAUGACCUUGUCAUUUUGAUUUCAUGAUGAAAUGACUUUGAAAAACUGUGACGCACAAAAGCCUGAGAUGAGACAUUUACAUGAUCAGGUAAGAACAAAGAGAUGAAAAAUCAUGUAAUAACUGAAUAUAUUAGAAUUUAAUACUUUUAUCAAGAUAAUGGACUUGAAAUUUAUAAAUCAGUUGCUCUCUGGUUUGGUAAUUUUGUGAUAAAAUGUUGUAAUAUUCUCUUUUAGUGUGUGACUUCCUGUUUUCCAGAAUGCCUUCCUCUUUAAAUUGUCUUGUAGGUUAAAUGUAUUCCGCCCUAUUUCCCGCUCCUGUGGGUGUAGAAUUGGUUUCUGUGUUUUGUUCUCUCUGAUGGAUUUCUCCCUGAUGACUGGCGAAUGUCAGGACAAAUUGGAGGCUCAAGAGAGAAUUUUGAUCCCGAAGUGUGAAAGUCAUUUUAGAUCACUGAAGCAUUUUCAGAUAUCAGACUCCACUGUUGCUGCUUGAAAUGUCAAUUUGUGAUGUCAGCAUGUCACACAAAACCAAGCCACAGGUUGGACUGUACAGUGGGACUCCUGUUAACCCCUUGAAUUAAACAUUAGUAUGAAUAUUAUUCCCAUGAUUUUCUUCAAAUGUUUGUCUGUGAUAUCACCGAUCGAGGGUCUAAAGCUUCACUCUGGAUGUGUGAGCCAGUUAACGACAUAAAAGGUCGAAAAGCAAAAUAACACGUUAAAUGACAACCUAAAAGGUCAGUUUGAACGUGUUGUUGUGCCUUUCGACUGCACUCAGUAGUGAUCUUGCACAUUAGCUCCCUUUUUUUAAAAGUAAAACACCUACACUGAAAAGCCUCGACCUAUAGAUCAGCACAUACAUUAAGUCUUCACAGACAAGAGGCAGAGACGUAAAUGAAUGGCUUAGCAAAUUACAGAUGCCUCUGCUGUUGUGCAUUAGAAGGCGGUCAAGGAUGCGAAUGUGACAUUUUCUCUCAAAGUAUUUCUAAUUUUGCUUUCACAUGCAGGCAAAUUAAAAAGGCCACUUUAUCAGCCGAGCUGGACGGCAUAUAUCGUUACCCCGGACGCACAGCAUUAGCACGUUUAGCACGAGUAUCUGUAAUCCUCAAAAGUAGAGAAGGGUCAAAGGAUAAUCACACUUACAUUAUUCCUGCAAAUUGCAUGUCAUGAGAGGCUGUCCGUGCUGGGAGAAGAGCUGAAGCCUGACAAGUCUGAUGCUCAGGGUGGAAAUUAGUGCCGUGCACGUUGAAAUACUUGAACCUUCUCUGCCAUCCUGCUUUUGAUGUGGGUAAAAUAAGAAUAGGAAUCACUUCAUUUGCCAAAUGUUUUUGAGGAGACAUUUCGUUUCUUUCUAGGAGACACUUGAGAGAUUAUUCACAGCUGAUGUCAGAGCUCUGAAUAAUGUUGAUACAUGUGAGUCUGCAUAUGUAUAAUAGACAAAACGGAUAGGGCUGUCAUGGUGAAGGAUUGAUUCAGGUUGGUUCAACAGUGCAGUAUGAAGUCUAUGUGGUAUUAGCACCCUUUUUUUUCAGCUGAAUGGAGCAGCAGUACCUGACAAACAUGGAAAACCCAAAGUAAAACUGACAACUUUUUAAAAAUACCCAAACCAUGAGAUUUAUUAAUAUAAAGACAUCAAAAACAACCAAGACACUAAAUAAAGACUAUAAACAACAGUCAAAAGAAAGUAGGCUGAGAGGCAGCGAGAGCAGCGGUCCACAAACCAGGAGCCUCUCUCUGCCACAGGGACCUGGAGCAUUUAACCACUUCCUUUCCUGGGCCAGGUGCACCUCAUUGAGGACUGAUCAGGUGUAGCAGACCUGGGCGGAGCAGGAGACAGGAGAGGACAAACAGCACAGGGAAUACAUAGAGCCGUAACAGGCAGGAAAUAACUUGGGAUUUAUGAAUGGAGGUCUGGCUGGAGGCAUCUUUAGAUUGUAUGAUUGGUGGUAAACUACCUUGCAUGUAAAAUGGCAGCCUGCUCAGCUGCGCGGUGACCCAGGCAAACACACUUGAUUAAGCCUUCACACUUGGGAAAGUGUCUUUGAUGGAUCCACAGCAGACCCUCACAUCAAUACGGUGCUUUGAACCAGCCGUGCACAGUAAUUGUGAGGAAUGAGAUCUUUCCCAGCUGGUCCUAAAUGUGAUCUGGCAACCUCUCCGUCAGUCACAGGCUCUCUCCCAAAAGCCCCAGGCUGCUGCUGACAACAACUUCAGCUUUUCCUGCCAGGAGGACAUGUUUUGCUGAGAUGAGGGUAUCAUUACACCCACUCAGCAGCCUUGCAACGAGAGACAGAGCGGUCCCGUUACUGCUCCGCCAGGCCAGUGGUCUGACUCGCACAUCGCCUCCUCUCACCCAUCAGCAUACCACUCCUCUGCUACCACGGUCACGCUGCCACGAAGCGAUACAGCAGAGAAUGUUAUGCAAACAGAUAUCGAGAAGUGACAGUUUGAUGUUUUGUGGUCUCCAAAAAACACAAAGCACAGAUAAAACUAUCAACUUAUCUCAAUAAAGCCUGGACCUCAAAGAGAAA